UACGAAGGAUCCAAGCGUUGUCCGGAUUUACUGGGUUUAAAGGGUGCGUAGGUGGAUAAUUAAGUCAGUGGUGAAAGCCUGCAGCUUAACUGUAGAAUUGCCAUUGAAACUGAUUGUCUUGAAUAUGGUUGAGGUAACUGGAAUGUUGCAUGUAGCGGUGAAAUGCUUAGAUAUGCAACAGAACACCGAUUGCGAAGGCAGGUUACUAAGCCAUUAUUGACACUGAGGCACGAAAGCGUGGGGAUCAAACAGGAUUAGAUACCCUGGUAGUCCACGCUGUAAACGUUGCAUACUCGGUCUUAGCGAUAAACAGUUAGGACCCAAGCGAAAGCGUUAAGUAUGCCACCUGGGAAGUACGAUCGCAAGAUUGAA
rnacentral:rRNA from 1 species